rnacentral:tRNA from 1 species
GGCUUUAUAGUGGAAAAAAGACGUCAAAUUGCAAAUUUGAAGAUGUAUUGGUUACUAAAGCUU